GCAGCCUUGCUGCGGCUGCCUCACGGGCUCCAGGCUGAUUUCCUGGGGCAAAGCAGGCCAGGAGGAGCGGCAGGGAGAAGCUGGGGGAUGAACGGGGCAUGGGAUGAAGUCAGCGUGCUGCGCCAAUCCGGGCAGGGCCACGCAGCUACGGAUGCCUCUUGAUGCUGGCACCGAGCGCACCUUUCUCCGGGGGUUUGGUGCCUCCAGCCCGAGCUGAGCGUGCACCGAGGAGUUGCUAGGUCAGGCCCAGUCGUUUGUGAGUGUUGUGUGAGGCCAAGCAGAAAGCAUGGAGACGUCUGAUAUGGCGACAGCAAAGG